rnacentral:antisense_RNA from 1 species
CUCUGUCUUCCCCAGAAGCGGAGCAGUUCCAGCCGCGGGCUCCCCCACACAGGAGCCUCCUAUGUCAGGGCCUCCCAGCGCACCUCAGGGCGCACUGGCUGCGCCCCGUAGUCCAGCAGUGCGGCGAAAAGGACUUCAGGCUCCCAGUUGGGGGCGUCCUGGACGGCCUGCAGCGCACAAUCCAUGGGCGUGUGGCCAGCCCCAUUGGGGACCUCAGCGCGGGCCCCGUAACGCAGCAGCAGCUCGGCCAGGCCCCCGCAGCCGUUGGCACAAGCGUUGUGCAGCGGCGUGUGGCGCUUGCGCCCGGCCGCCCGGGCAUCAGCUCCAGCCUCCAGGAGCCGGCGCGCCGCAGCCUGGUGUCGCCUGCAGCUACCUGGGCCUUCGGCCCCAGCGCACGCCGCGUUCAGCGCAGUCUCGCCCUGGCUGGUGCGCAGGCCCACGUCGGCGCCAUGCUCCAGGUACAGAGCCACAUGUUGCUCCAGGCCGCGCGCCGCCGCCACGUGCAGGGGCGUCUCCUGACUCUCGCCUGCUGCCAGGUUCACCGUCGCUCCUGCUUCCAGCAGCAACUUGGCGCACCUGGGGACAAGAGAGCAAGGUCCCGAGGAAAAUCCUGAAGGCUUGGGACCCCUUCAGCUUGCUGUGACACUCCCUUGCCUUUCCACCCCUCUCACCUUGAGGUCCUACCUGGUGUCCUCCAUGAGAAUCACACAAGCCCCGCUACAGACAACAGAAUUGGAAGGUCCUGAGAGCUACCAGAAGCAUCUUCAGUUUUCAUAUGAAAAACUUAAGCCCAGGAGUGAUUUGUGCAGCCAAGGACACACAGCAAGUUAGUGGCUGCACCAGAAAUAGCACUCACUGCCUCAGACAGUCCCUCCCACAGUCUACUCUGUCUCCACCCCAAGGUCUGGUUCUGAAUCAUUCAGUUGUCAGUUGUCUCCUAACUUUUUUUUUUUUUUUUUUUGGAGACAGGGUCUCUCUCUCUGUGGCCCAGGCUGAAGUGCAGUGGUGUGAUUACAGCUCAUGUAGCCUGGACCUCCCAAGCUCAAGCAAUCCUCCUGCCUCUGCCUCCCAAGUAGCUGGGACCACAGGUGGGCAGCACCACACCUGGCUAAUUAAAAAAAAUUUUUUUUUUAUAGAGACAGGGUCUUACCAUUUGCCCCAGCUGGUCUCAAACCCCUGGGCUCAAGCAAGCCUCCUGCCUUGGCCUCCCAAAGUGCUGGGAUUACAGGUGUGAGCCACCACACCCGGCCUUAUCUCCUAACAUUUUGAUAGCACAAAAUUUUGAAAACCCACUUCUGUGUACGUUAUGAAGCAUAGAAAAUUAAACAGUAUGCACC